rnacentral:rRNA from 1 species
ACGUACACUCCUGCGGGAGGCAGCAGUAGGGAAUCUUCCACAAUGGGUGCAAACCUGAUGGAGCAAUGCCGCGUGAGUGAAGAAGGUCUUCGGAUCGUAAAGCUCUGUUGUUAGAGAAGAACACGUGCUAGGUAACUACUAGCGCCUUGACGGUAUCUAACCAGAAAGUCACGGCUAACUACGUGCCAGCAGCCGCGGUAAUACGUAGGUGACAAGCGUUGUCCGGAUUUAUUGGGCGUAAAGGGAGCGCAGGCGGUCUGUUUAGUCUAAUGUGAAAGCCCACGGCUUAACCGUGGAACGGCAUUGGAAACUGACAGACUUGAAUGUAGAAGAGGAAAAUGGAAUUCCAAGUGUAGCGGUGGAAUGCGUAGAUAUUUGGAGGAACACCAGUGGCGAAGGCGAUUUUCUGGUCUAACAUUGACGCUGAGGCUCGAAAGCGUGGGGAGCGAACAGGAUUAGAAACCCGAGUAGUCCC